UUUCCGUAGGUGAACCUGCGGAAGGAUCAUUAAAAAUGAAGCCGGGAAACCGGUCCUUCUAACCCUUGAUUAUCUUAAUUUGUUGCUUUGGUGGGCCGCGCAAGCACCGGCUUCGGCUGGAUCGUGCCCGCCAGAGGACGCAACUCUGUAUCAAAUGUCGUCUGAGUACCAUAAAAUAGUUAAAACUUUCAACAACGGAUCUCUUGGUUCUG
rnacentral:misc_RNA from 1 species